GCAAACUUGGUCAUUUAGAGGAAGUAAAAGUCGUAACAAGGUAACCGUAGGUGAACCUGCGGUUGGAUCAUUACUGAUUUCCAAACCAAAAGGGUUGGAUUGCUGUGAGAGUGGUUUCCUACUUCUCCGGCUCCUUCCCUUUUACCACCCCUUGUGCAACCUAGCAUCAUAUACUUUAUGAAUUCUCUCUUCCUCUUGGCCAAUUCGUCGCUGUGGAUCUUCGCAGCCGAGGAGGCCAGAGGGGGCGAGAUUCAUAACCAAUUAUCAAACCCCUAUGUAGUAUUCUGCCUGAAUUGUUUUGUAAUUUGAUUUACAAUCAAUAACAAUAUAAAACAACUUUUGACAACGGAUCUCUUGGCUCUCGCAUCGAUGAAGAACGCAGC
rnacentral:misc_RNA from 1 species